rnacentral:rRNA from 1 species
UACGAAGAGGGCUAGCGUUGCUCGGAUUGACUGGGCGUAAAGGGCGCGUAGGCGGUUCGUACAGUCAGACGUGAAAUUCCUGGGCUCAACCUGGGGGCUGCGUUUGAUACGUGCGGACUUGAGUGCGGAAGAGGGUCGUGGAAUUCCCAGUGUAGAGGUGAAAUUCGUAGAUAUUGGGAAGAACACCGGUGGCGAAGGCGGCGACCUGGUCCGAUACUGACGCUGAGGCGCGAAAGCGUGGGGAGCAAACAGG